rnacentral:lncRNA from 1 species
CUUUUUUCUUUUUUUUUCCCUGCCUGCAUGAGGGCUGGAUCUGCAUUCAAAAAGACACCACCAGCUUUAGACCACAGAAGAAUUACAGACGGGGUCAGUGGUGAAAUGACCAGCUGCUGGGAACAGUCUGGUUCUUGGUGGGCCUUAAGUAACACAGAAAUUGCAAAUCUGCCUUCCUGGACCAGACCUAAAGCUGAGCUGAUUCCUUCCCUACGUGGUCUGGGAGAAGGAGCAAGCAGCAGGUGUCAGAAGUUCUCAAAGGGAAGCGGGGUGGAAUCCACCUUCACACAAGGUCCCUAGGAUGGAGUUCAUCUAAACACAAAGAGUAAUAAGUCUUGCACAAUGUUUAUUCACAAUAUCACAUUCUGAUACUCUUGUUCACCUUACACAUGCCUAAUGGUGCUUUAAAACCCACAGAUACUGGCUUAUGACACCUCUGUGCUGGCCUUCAGGAGGUUCCUGUCAACCCGUUUCUCCAGCCUGUCGAGGUCCCUCAGGAUGGCAGUGUGUCCUACUGGUGAAUCAGCCACAGCCCCCAGUUCUGUAAUGUUUGCACUUAGUGGACAGAAAUUUGACAACAAAAGAGGUCAGCUGCAGAUCCAGGGGAUGAGCUCACGUCCUGCCUGCAGCCUGGCACUGCCCCGGGACCCCUCGCAGAGCCAAGCCCCGGCCCGGCCUCAGCAAGAGCCAGGCCCCGCGAACCUGCCCUCGCUCCAUGCGCACGGCCAGGGCCCGACGCAGGGAGCACUGAGGCCGUUCUGUUUUCUUCCCUCUUUGCCUUCUGCACGGCUCCUGGAAUGUGUUUGCAUAUGGUGGAAAAAAUGCAAGGAGCAGAGAGAAGCGGCCGGGAACGCGGCCCUCCCCGGUGGCGCUGGGUGCCAGAGCCAGGCCGGGGCCUGGGCUGCCACCAGCCCGGAGGUCGGGGGAGCCCCUGGUGCUUGCAGCAGUUGA